rnacentral:lncRNA from 1 species
AGGAGCACCAUGGGAGAGAAUUUGAACGCUCUUGGCAGUUGGGAUUCAGACCUUGACAGUUGUAACUGAUAGACAGGGCUGGGGCAAUGCUGAUGAAAGGCAAAUUCCUGAGAGAAAAAUCACCCAAACUUUCUAGAAGUUGUUAUGAGUGGACCUGACUACCUAGAGAGAGUAAUACAGAAGCUCCAUGCCGAUCACAGCUACCUCAUUACCAAGUUCCUCCAAGAUGGCCGCCCCUGAGGAGAAUCAUCAACUGGGCUUUACGGAAGAGAGAAAUCCAAACGACCAUCAGCAACAAAUGAAAGACUGAAGUUGAAAGGAAAUCCAUAAUUUUUGAAUGCUGGCCGAGGUCUGUGACCUCUGACUGAAUGGUUUCCAAGCUCUGAAUUCCUAGGUAUAACACUUGCUGAAGAAAGGAAAAGCUCUCUGAUUUAGGUGUAAGCAAAACAAUCUAAACAGUAGGAUAAAAUCGUGUUGGAGUGGAGUUCUGUGUGAGCGCUGUCUUUGAACCAAAUCAGUUCCACAACUGACCCUGUCAGGGACAUAUAAAUUUAGCAUUUCGGUGUGGAUACAGAAGACGAGAUUAACACAGAUCAAGUAACAUGGAAAUAAAAAAGGAGACAAUGCUGGAUGAUACGGGGGCAGCCAACAAGAAGAGAAAACCCAAGCAUUGGCAAACCCCUCAUUAUCCAAAGAACACUGAGGUGUGGAGCAAAACUGUGUUGAAGGAACUGUAGAUGGAAAUUCUCUCCUUCCCACCGAGGAGCCGCUGCAGGUUGCAGACUCCCAGAAUGCCACACUGAGAAGAGGAGGGCUGAAAUUCUAGAGCAGAAUCCCUGGGGCAGCCCCUGCUGAAGGAGGGUGCAUCUGUUGAAAAUCUCACCGCCGCCCCCACCCCGCCCAGCCUUCAAUUUAGAGGAAUUUCUAGUUCAUGCAGAAUGAAGACAAGAUCACAUAAGUGAGGAUGACGCCCUAUUUACAAGUGUGGUUUGGAAGACUGAAGUGGAAACCUUGGGAAAGGGCCUCAGAGUAUGUCAGCUGGGGUCAGACGGGAACAGGAGGCUGGCUCAACACACAUUUAUUGCACUCCUGCUUCAUGCCAAGAAAUGCACCAAAAUCUGGAAUUGUGUAACACAGCAAAGGAAAAGACUCAUCUCCAGGAAGCCCCCUUGUCUAGGAAGAGAAAUUGAAUAUCAGCAUAAGGUGGUGAAAAGCUGUGAAGGAGAUGAGUGCCACAAGUCCAUGGAGGAAGGAUUCUAGCCUGGACAGGUGAGGAAUGGCUUUCUGGAAGAAGCAGAUGCCCCAGCUGAACUUUAAAGUGCCCAUGUGAAAUGAACUGUCUGUAUCUUCAAUCAGCAAAUGGAAUAGGUGGCCACUGUUUAAUUCUGGAAUGGGGAAGUGUAAAGGUGUGGUGUGUGUGUUUACCCCUACUUAGGGAUUCAAAACAGACAGUAAAGAACAAAAGUCUAGCCCUUUGAGCAUUCUCCAUGGGACAUUUGAGGUCUAGCUGGCCCCAGAGAAAGGGAGACAGAGGAAAGGUCAUAUCCAUUUGAGAAAAUCAAAGUGUCUGCUCCAAUUGAGUCUGGUGUCCUUAUUCCUGGAAUAGCCAUCCCUACUGCUCUGGUGCUGAUUUACCUCCGGCAGUUCAGUGCUUCCUGGAAGGUGAUAGUGGUGAAUAGUCAUGAGAAUCCGGGAACUGGCUCCUGCUCUGUCUAUCUUGGAGAUGCAUCUUUUGUGAGAGGCCAGGGCAAGAAUAGGGAGGCUUAGGCAAUGGGGAGUUUCUGAGUAGAUAAAGCAGAUGGCAGAGCAAAGGGAUAGAGCCUGGAGAGAGGCUACUUCCUGUAGCAACCUGCUUAAGAGUGAGAGGAAAGCAAGGCAUGGCUAUGAGCACGUGUAGUCUCAGCUACUUGGGAAGCUGAGGCUGGGGGAUCACUUGAGCCCAGGAGUUCAAGACCAGCCUAGGCAACAUGGUGAGACCAUGUUUCUUUAAAAAAAAAAAAAGAGAGAGAGAGAGAAAAGGUGACAAUUCCUCCAAUACACAUCAAAUACAUAAGAGCUAACAAGGACACAGUGGCAGAAAAUAGUCAGAGUUGAGCAAGCAUCAGUGAGGAAAUGCUUUCCAGAGGAGACUUGAGAAGUCUCAAAAAUGAAAAGAAAGAGUAUUGGUGUAGAAAGAAUGGCUUGAGAUGUGAAAGCUCAUUCAUCCAUUUAUUCCAGGUAUAUCUUUUUCUUCAGUACUUUGGGAGGCAAUAGGUGUAACAGCAAGAACAUUCAGGUUAGUGUGAGUCUGCCGUAUGUAUGAGGGUUGAAUUCACAUUAGGUGUGGUGACUAUCAUAUGGGAGGCGCUGCAAGGUGAAGGAGACAUGUCCUCACAUUUGGUCUUUGGGAAGCUAAGCAGGCAGAAACCUAAGUGCAAAGUGGCCAGUGUUUUCCUAAUGCUAGAUAAGUACAUGAUGUGUUGGAAGGGUGGAGUAGAACUAGAAACUCCUGGAAUUUCUUUUAAGAACGAAUGCAGGACCUCAUUAGCCUGAGUCUUUAAGUAAGUCACACAUUUUUGGUCACUGCAUUCUGGAAGGGGGACAAAAAGAUCUGUCACAGACAAAAUCUGGAGAUAUUUAAGGCUUUGUUGACUUUGGCAAAUGCUUGGUUAUAGUUCUGUGGUCUGUUUGUUAUCUAGAGUCUCCAUGAAUUGCAAGGGAAAACAAUGGUACACUGGCAUUUCUAUUUGAUAACCCGUUCUCUUUGGAAUUCUGGUUAGAAAUCAAAGGCUUACUUGAGUUUUAAUGCUUUCAGGACUUGAAAUACUUUUCUAUCUUCCUAAUAAUAUAUUAACAUUUUCUGAGGACAACAUAUAUCUGGAAAACAACAUUAUUUACUCAAAUAAUUUUUUUUGAAAAAUGGACCAAAAAAAAAGAAAAACCGACAAAAACCUUUUCAUGUUGUAUCUCAGACUAGCCCAGGUUGUGUUCCAAAAUUUUUUUGCUGAAUGGUCGUUUCUGCAAUUGAAAGGCCCAUGAUUUUUUUUUCACAGCACCAUUUUGCUUUUCAAAAUUUCUACUGUGUGCCAGGUAUGGUUUUGGCAUUGCAUCCUUGCAGGAGCACUGCAAGGGAAUGAUUGUGCUAUUAUCUUCAUUUUACAGAUGAAGAAAAUGAAAGCAACAAAAAGUUUCAUAUCUUACCUAAGGUCUUCUUGUUCUGAUAAGUGAUCAAGCUGGUAUUUGAACUUGGGUGCCUCAACAUGAAGGUCAAGCAUCUCAUUUUACAGAUGAGCCAACUGAAGUCCCAAGAUCACUCACCUCAUUGGUUACAGAUCUUGGAGCCCAGGGACUCUUAAUCCAGGACCAGUAUGCUUUGCAUGACAUGCAGGAUGUAUCUGAGACACAAACUGUGCUUUGUUCUCUUUCCUCACUAAUGAAUCCUGCAUACAUUCUCCCUACCCUCUUCCCCCAUGAAUCCAUGUUUGUGGUUUCCCAGGAGCUACAGAUGAUGGUCCCAGACUCUGUCCAUCCUGAUCUUUGGCAUGGACCCCUAAAUCCAGCCAAAUGCGGCACCCACAGUCUCUUGCAUGAACAAGAUAUGGGCUUUUCUGUCUCUGUCAUUAUUCACCAUUUACUGUGGUUGGCAUGCCGUCUUCCUGCCAGCUCCACAGUUCGAGGUGCCGCUAUUCUUUCAGAUGCAUCACACAUGUUACUUCUUUUAUGAAACUUGCAGAGUCUCAGAGUUGCAUGAGAUUUGUCACUCUUGUUGAGAGAAAGAGGACAGAGUGGAGAAGAAAAGGGAAGGGAGAAAAUGGGUGGAAUUCAUGGCCCUAGAUAUGAAGCUUGGAGAUGACUGAAGUAAUAGAUGACUCCAAGGAUAAUCAAUAGCCAUGAGAGUUAUGGCUUAUUGAAUGCUUACUAUUUCUUGGGAGAGUGCAAUGUUAUCAUCUCCUUAAAUUCUCACUGCAAGUCGUCAGGUUUCUGCAGCUGGUAUUUAAGCCCAAUUCUGCCUGAAGUCAAAACUUGUGUUCUCUUUCACUGUUGUCUCCUAAGACAAUUGGUUGUGAGGUAGAAAAAGAACUGGAUAAUUCUCAAAAUGGAAAAUUAAAAAGAUGAAACAAAAUUGGGGUCAUGGAUUGAGACAAUACAGUGAGAGACACUGGAAUUGGAAGAAAUGAGGCAUGAGGCCAGAGUGGAGCUCCCUUAGGACACCGCUUUUGGCUUCUGGAGCCUUUAUUACAAUGAGGCAGCUCAGGACUUACAGUGUUCAUCUGAGUGCCAGGAAUCAUACUGUCAUGGUGCUUCUCAUGGGUUUUGCAUCUUGCUUUGUGUUAUAGGGCUUUGGGUUCACAAGCUCUCUGAAGGAGCUGAUUGUGAAGGCAAGGACUGUGUCUAUGCCUUUUUUAAGGAGACACAUAUUUUGUCUUAAUCAAGUGGACACAUGAGAGGCACAGAGAGGGGUACACCUCAGUCUACCCAAGGAUAUGGAGUGGGGGCUUCAUGGAGACCUGAGGGGCCCAGGCACAGAAAAGAGACAAAGUGAGGGAACACUUGAGGGAGAUGGCGGGGCACAUGCUUAGGAAGGAAAGCUUGGAAAGGCAUAGGCAGAAUGUUUAAGGAUGUGCCCAGUGUGUAAUCUAGAGAAAGCAGUCAGAGGAAAUGAGACGGGAGAGGCAGCUCGAGGCAGGGUAUAGAUGUGAAAGUCACUCGCACCCCCUCUCAUCAUAUGACUCCAGGCAGUCCUCCAACCCACCCACUCGAGCUCCCUGCCUUCUGACAGGUUUCCUUAUUUCUGAGCGUCUUGUAACAGGCCCAGGAUAUCCUUCCUUGCUCAUGUAAAGAAUUCCACUCAUCUUUCAAGGCAUUUUAAACAGAAGUCCUGUGAGGCCUGCCUUGAGACACUCACACUCAAUUUACUUUCUUCAGAAGUGUCUUUUCUACUUCUCUGUUCUAGCACAGCCACAGUGUUUCAUCUGUUUUCCCUACUAUUGUGAGGGCUUCUUCCACAAGAAGAAUUUUGUCUUCUCUUUGCACCCCCAAUGCCAGCACAUAGUAAGCACUCAGCACAUUUGAUAAUGGAAUGGCUCUGGUUUUACAUUCCUGUAUUUUUCAGGCAGAUAGUGAGUAGUCAGCGAGGACUCAUGCAUGACUCUGGGAAAAGUAGAGGGUAAUUUUUUUAUUUGCUUUUCGAGGGCUGAUCAGGGCUACUUAUUUUUAUGGCAGGCCAGCAUCCUGCUCACCCUGACUCCCUCCAGCUUCUGGUACCUGCGUAUCCAGGCUAUGUUAAUUUCACUGCAUUUUUCUUCUUUGUCACUUUUUCUUUUUCUUCUUCAAAGAGCGUAGCAAUCUCUCAGGAGUUUGAUUAUAUUGCAAGAUGAAUAGGAUAUUUGAAUUAUGCUAUUUAAAUGAGUCAUCUCAACCCUAGUGUAAUUGUUCACCCCCUGUCACACUAAACGUGACCUACAUUUUUAAAAGAGUGCUUUUGGCCUGAAUAGAGGACUGCUGAAAUUGUUGGGUUCCAGUUCUCAGCAAUUUAUCAUUUGUUAUCACAGAGUGUGUCUUUUGUUUCACAUCUGGGCAGAUGUGAACUUUUAAAACUGUCUCUCACUAGAGCUAUCAAAAGAAGCUGCUUUUAUUUGCAAAAAGAAGGUGAACUGAUUUCCUGGGUGUUUAUGUGUGUGUGGUAUGUGGAGGGGCACAGAGGAGCAGCAGGGUUCAUUAAACAGAAGAUGUCUGGUCUUGGCUAAGCAGUUUAAAAACAUAUAGGAGUACUUAUACUGAAUUGAUUCAGAUUUUGGUUCUGUGGCCUGAAACUUGCUUGUUUCACCCUUCUUUUUUGAGAGUUUUUGUUGCUCUAAAACUAAGCCUGCACUAAUGUUCUUGAGAUGGAUCAACUGGGGAGCCCUGUCGUGCCUUACCAUUUUUUCAUCUUGGAGUCAAGCUGCAGGGCAGGAUUCUUAUACUGCCCAAAUGAUUGGAGGCUCAUUUCCCUUCAUUGUCCAUUUCUUUGACAGGCUGUGAAACAUAACUAACUCCAAAGCCACCUAUCAAAGUUCAUGAAGGUUUUAGUCAGGAACUGGUGGUUUUGUUGUUGCAGAUACUUCAAUUAUUCAGACUGUGAAUUUGAGUCAUAGCCUACUAGGCAAGGCCCAUACUGAGAUACAAAGGAACAGAGCUUUCUAAAUUAGAAGUGAGCAGCAUUCCUGAAGUGAUAGAUAAGGUCCUUGUACUACAUUCAUUCAGCAGAUAUUGAUUGUGUGCCCAUGAAUCAGGCAUAUGUGCAGGGUGUUAAUACAAAAGAAACUGGUUUUUGAGGCCCCUGCCCUCAAGAAGUUCACAGUCUAGUGAGGUUGGCAGGCAUGCAGAUGAUAACAUAAUGGAGGCAUGCAAGAAAUGCUGUGGAAAAUUAAGACAGCACAGUCUGCCUGAGGAGACUGUUCAACGUUUUAUAGAGGAGGAUGUGCUCGUGUUGGAACUUGAAGGAUGAGUAGUGGUGAAGGCAAAGGCUACUGUGGCUACAGUCUAGUGUACAAUGAUGGAGAUGAGGUGGUCAGAACACGAGGGUUCUUGUACGUCAAAGUAUGUUAGUUUUACACCAUACAUUUAUUAUUAUGAAUUCAGCUGUGAGGAACAGAAAUCUGCAAUUCAACUGGCUUAAACACUGAGGAAAAUUUAUUAGCGCAUAUAAUAUGUUCAAAGGCAGUUCCAGGAUAACUGAAUUCAGUGGCUCGACUCUAUCAUUAAGGACUUAGGUUCUUUCCAUUUUUUUUGCUCUGCCAUCCUUGGUAUGAUGAUUUGCUCUCAGACUUGCUCUUCUCCUGAUCACAAGGUGACCAAAGAGGAAGAGAGAUUUGUUUCUUUGUUUUUGAGGUUUGUUGGUUUUGUUUUGUCUUGAUUUGUGUCUUUUCAAUCAGUAAGGAAAAUCUUUCCUAAGGAGCUCUCCUGCCACUCCCAUCAGACUCAUCCCCAUGCCUCAGUGGCUAAAAGUGCAUCACGUGCCCAAUCCUAAACCAUUCACUGGCAAGGGGAAUGCAACCACCAUUACUGGCUCAGACCAAUCUUGAUUCACUCCCUGGAGGAACUGUCCCACUUCUUCUGGAUUAUAUGGCCCAGGUAGAGGAUACUGGAACAAAAUUGGGUUUCCGAUAGAAAGUAGGAGAAAGGGAGACAACUGAUUCCUGAGUUGGCAACCAACAGCAUUUGCUAUGGUAGAUGAUGGGAAACCAGUGUAGGUAAUUGAGCAGGAGUGGCAUGAUCAGUUAUGUUUAAAAAAAGUCCUAUCAGAAAUGUAGAGUUGAGCUUAAUAGAUAGAAAAAUUGAGAACACAUGGAAGUCUUGUGAGCAGCCAAGGAACUGAUCAACACACAUGUGGAACUGGAGCGAAAACUUUUCUGGAGUCAUGCUUCUGUAGUGGUAGGAGGGGGUAUUUAGGGGUAGAAAGGCAACUAAUGCAGAAUAGAGAUUUACCAAGAAGUUCCUUAUGGUACUGUGGCAACCAUGCAACUUUUUAAAAAAAGUUCAGAUGAUAAUGUGGUCCACUCAGAGGAGCCAUUUUGGUGAAAGAAUGCUAGCAUUUUGGAACUGGUAGUGAUCUUGAUGUCAUCUAGUUCAAGAUCUUUAUUUUACAAGUUACAGAACUGGGACACAGACAAGCAAAGUGAUUUGUUAAGUUCCUAUUUGUGGUUCAUGGCUGAACUAGAACCGUGCCCGUAGAUUUUCUGACUUUCAGCCCAGGGCACUUUGUAAUGGGUUCUCAGGGCCCUUUCUCAUGGGGUUUAACAUGUCCAUUCGAGAGUGCUGUAGAAGCUCCACAGGCCCUCUUCCUAUGUUUCUCUUAUCCUUGACAACAAUUCUAUUGUUGGAAUUUUGUUGUUGUUGUUUAAAUAUGGUUUUGGUUUCUAUAAAAAUGCAAAUAAUACUGAUAAGUGUAAUGUUUUAAGCUCUUAUCAUUCAUUUGGAUCUUAAAGUGAAUGUGUCCUUCUUGUUUUUUCUUUGAAGCAGAUUUUAAUGGGGGAUGGGAAUAAGAAAUUCAGGGUACUGGAAACAUAAAAGGAAAAAGGAGGCCCUAAGAAGAAUCCCUAAGACGAGAAGCUGGAGGCCGAGGGUUCAUUACUUUGUUGAGGGUGUUUCUUAUGACACCAAAUAAGACCCAUGGUGCCUGAGAUACUAAUGAGAGGCAAUUGCCACCCUAGUGUGAGGUGGGGCCUCUGGCCCACUUUUCUUGACAAUCUAAACAUCCAUUCACAAUGACCCAACUAUACUUCUUCACUCUUUCCUUUGGUCUUCAAUGUGCCUAUGCCUAUCCUUCCCAGAACAUAUACAGUUUUGGCUAAAAUUGCUAUGCAGAAACUUUUGGAAAUUCACCCUGGUAGACAGAGCAUGACAGCAGGCAUUAAAAAAAAAAUGUUCAGUAAAAACAAGAAAAUGAUUUGAGAAUCAAGCUCUUACUGACAAGGAAUCUUAGCAUUUUGGAGCUGGAAGUGACCCUGAAUUCAUCUGGCUCAAGACCUUUAUUUUACAAAUGAGAAAACUGGGACCCAGACAAACAAAGUGAGUUGUUAAGUUCCUCCUAUGUGUGGUCCAUGGCUGAACUAGAACCAUACCCACAGAUUUUUUUCCCUUCAGCACAGGACUCUUUGUAAUGAGUUCUCACCAAGCUUAAGUAAAGAUUGAUCUGUAAAAUCAAUUUAUUUCAACUUUACUUUUGAAAAUAUUCCGAAGUAUUAAUAUAUUAGUUUAUUUUUUUGGUAGUAUGCCAAACAUUAUAAAACUGCUAGUUUUAGAUGUAGACAGUGGAUAAAGACUGAGCUAAAUCUGUAUAGAUUGUGGCCUUUUGGGGCAUUUGGUAAAAGAUAAUCCUAUUUCUGUAAAACAAAUACUGAAAAGAGGAAAAAAAAAGCGCAUAUGUAUGUGUAUGUCCAUCUAAGAUUGUUUAAGCCUGGAAAAACAUGGAAGGAUAUAUAUGAAGUUGUUAUCACGGGUUUGCCUGACAGUGCUGAUGCGGGUAGAAGAGGAGGGUUGGGAGAAGCUGUACAAAUGUAUGAGAAAGGGACUAAAAAGGGAUGUCGAUGAUGAUAUUCAUAUAAAUUUAUUUCUAGGUGUGGCUGUAUAUUGAAAAAAUGAGUAAAAUACUUUAAAAAGUGAUCUGGAAAAUGAGAAAACAAAAAUGAGUGUAAUUCUCAUGUGCAUUUAAAAUUAUAACGUGUCAAAUGUUUGUCUAAAUUGGAUGAUCACUAAGAAUAAAAUUAAAUUGGAAAUUUUAAUUAAAGGUGCUAAAUUAAAGGUGCCAAUAUGUAGCUGGACAUACUCUUCUAUUUUCAUUUACAUUUUGUUUUACUUUCAUCUGCUUGCUAUGUAGUUUUUCAUCUCAUGCAUUUUUUUGAUACUUUAUGUCAGUGGUGGCUGAAUUGUAUUUGAAAAAUAUGAAAAACAUGUAUAAUUACAUAGACACAAUUAAAGCUAAGCUUAUUUCAAAA